rnacentral:rRNA from 1 species
AUUGAACGCUGGCGGCAGGCCUAACACAUGCAAGUCGAACGAGUGGCGGACGGGUGAGUAAUGUCUGGGAAACUGCCCGAUGGAGGGGGAUAACUACUGGAAACGGUAGCUAAUACCGCAUACCAUCGGAUGUGCCCAGAUGGGAUUAGCUAGUAGGUGGGGUAAGUGCUCACCUAGGCGACGAUCCCUAGCUGGUCUGAGAGGAUGACCAGCCAGACUGGAACUGAGACACGGUCCAGACGCACACGGGAGGCAGCAGUGGGGAAUAUUGCACGAUGGGCGCAAGCCUGAUGCAGCCAUGCCGCGUGUAUGAGGAAGGCCUUAGGGUUGUAAAGGACUUUCAGCGAGGAGGCGUUACUCGCAGAAGAAGCACCGGCUAACUCCGGGCCAGCAGCCGCGGUAAUUC